rnacentral:rRNA from 1 species
AGGACGAACGCUGGCGGCGUGCUUAACACAUGCAAGUCGAGCGGAAAGGCCCUUCGGGGUACUCGAGCGGCGAACGGGUGAGUAACACGUGAGCAACCUGCCCUUAGCUCCGGGAUAGCUCCGGGAAACCGGAAUUAAUACCGGAUACGACCACGGCCGACAUCUGCUGCGGUGGAAAGGAUUCCGGCUAAGGAUGGGCUCGCGGCCUAUCAGCUAGUUGGUGGAGUAACGGCCCACCAAGGCGACGACGGGUA